rnacentral:lncRNA from 1 species
CCAUCACAAAAAAAGACAGCUCCCAAAUGCAAUCAUUUCCCGGUAAAUUUCUACCCUUCAGCCCCACUUUUCUCCAGUCUCCAUACCCACUCCUCCCCUUGACCUCAGUAACCUGGUUUCUUGAGGUGUGUGUGUGUGUGUGUGUGUGUGUGUGUGUGUGUGUGUGUGCGCGCAAAAAGUAUUCAGGAUCAAGGAGGGCUGGGCACAGUGAGACAGGCACCCAACCUUCCCCAGAUACUUCAGGUCUCCAGCUGCCAUGCUCCAGUGCAGACAGACAAUCGGAUGGCAGGGCUGCAAGCAGGGCCGCUCAGUUGGAGCAAGUGAGGGAGCCCAGGCUGCCGUGGCCCUGCCCAUCAAAUGCCCAGAAAGAAGGGCUUUGGAAGGGGAAAUUCUGCAGCAUGUCCCCAGCCCAUCUUGACAGGUAAGAGAGGGUCCCAGGCUUGAGGUAGAAAGGAAUAGGACAGUUCAGUGACGAAGCCCCAGCUCAGCUCACAUUAGACUCUCCAGAGCCCUUCGUGUGCUCUGUCCUACGUCGGCUUGGCACGGGGAAGGCCUCUUGUCUCUGAAAGUAACUGCUUUGUCCAUUCCAACGAAGACCUGCAUCUUGGUGACGGGAAAUGACUGGUUCUGUUUUCUUGCAGUCCAACUUUAGCAAGGAAGAUGGCGCUUAAAGCAGGGGGCGGAUUCCAGGCUGCACCCCGGUAGGAGUCUCUGCCGAGCUCUGCCAAAGGCAAGUGAGCUGAGCAGAGUGACUAAGUCAACCGGAGAGCAGGGCACCAGCCAACCUUCCCCUCCUCGGAGCCCCCACUGCCAGUCCCGAGACCUGUACCUCGGAUCUCAGCAAUGAAAAAUCCUACUUGACUUAAAAGUAUAAAUAAAUGUAUGCUAAACGUU